UCUUCAGUUAUAGAAUGGGUGCUUUUGUGC
rnacentral:piRNA from 1 species